CUUUUAUUUCAACAGAGUGGUUCUAAUCUCUCUUCGUUCAAAACUAAACUAUACCACUAUUACUAUGCGAAAUUGAGCUUAGAAUUUGAUGUCGAUCAACCAAGAACUUGGAAAUCUUUGUGUACAAAGUGUCGCUCCUUUGACAUUACUUGUUGUUCGUAAACGUGUAAAAAUUAGUAUAAAAACUCUAAAAAUUUAUUUUAAAAAAUCAUUAUAUAUUUUGUUAAGACCAAAAAACGGUACUAGUUAGAUAAAGUGUUAAGUUAGAUUAAUAAACAUGUAAAUGUUAUGCAUGUUAGUAGAAAUAGUUUUGGUGGGACUUAAUUGGAUCUUAUUUAAGAUCUGUUGUCCUUUUCCUUCAAUCAUUUGUUAAUACUCUAAAAACUCAAAACAGC